UACGUAGGGACCAAGCGUUGUUCGGAUUUACUGGGCGUAAAGGGCGCGUAGGCGGCAAUUCAAGUCAUCUGUGAAAUCUCCGGGCUUAACUCGGAACGGUCAGAUGAUACUGCUUUGCUAGAGUGCGGAAGGGGCAAUCGGAAUUCUCGGUGUAGCGGUGAAAUGUGUUGAUAUCGGAAGGAACGCCGGUGGCGAAAGCGACACACUGGAUCUUGUCUGACGCUGAGGCACGAAAGCCAGGGGAGCGAACGGG
rnacentral:rRNA from 1 species